AAGUGUAUUAUGCAUUUUUGAGUAAGGAUGAUAUAGAUAGUGAUAUGUAAUAGUCAAUUAUUGAUCUGAGUCUGUUGCAAGCUUGAUGUUUGUUUUAUUAAGGAAACAACAAAUAAAUAUUACCAUAAAUUAAUAAAUACCUAAAUGACUAUGUAUAUGAAUGGUGGAAAGUAUGGAUCAAUGGAGAAAAUAUCAAACUUUUUAUCACCUGCUCUGCUUGGUACUAUUCAGAAUUGAUGCCCCAGCUGAUUUCAGCUUCUGCCGUGAUUAAGAUUGUCCUAUUGCCUCUGUAUUAGAAAGAGACAAAGGUCAGUCUCAAAUUUGAGGUGGUUCCUUUUGUUAAGAGAAAAAAAUCUAAAUUAUGAAAAAUUAAUAACUACCUAAAGGACUGAACAAAUAUAAUGUGGAAAGGAAAAAUCCAUUCAGACAAGAAUGGACCAGUCGAGCUGAUUGGAAAAUUCUUUCAUGGUCACGUUCUCUGGUUGUCUCCACGUCUUU